GACGAACGCUGGCGGCGUGCUUAAUACAUGCAAGUCGAACGGAAAGGCCCUGCUUUUGUGGGGUGCUCGAGUGGCGAACGGGUGAGUAACACGUGAGUAACCUGCCCUUUCCUUUGGGAUAACUUCAGGAAACUGGGGCUAAUACCGGCUAGGAUCUCCUGCUGCAUGGUGGGGGUUGGAAAGUUUCGGCGGUUGGGGAUGGACUCGCGGCGUAUCAGCUUGUUGGUUGGGUAGUGGCUUACCAAGGCUUUGACGGGUAGCCGGGCUGAGAGGGUGACCGGCCACAUUGGGACUGGGAUACGGCCCAGACUCCUACGGGAGGCAGCAGUGGGGAAUAUUGCACAAUGGGCGGAAGCCUGAUGCAGCAAAGCCGCGUGCGGGAUGACGGCCUUCGGGUUGUAAACCGCUUUCGCCUGUGACGAAGCGUGAGUGACGGUAAUGGGUAAAGAAGCACCGGCUAACUACGUG
rnacentral:rRNA from 1 species